UUGCUUCGACGGCGGCGAAAGAGUGGCUGUGUGCACUGUGCUAUUAGAACACCACGAUGGUACGUACCUACAAACGGAAAACUGAGAGAGGGAAAAUAUCCGAAACGUUAUUACGUCAAGCUGCCAAU